AUUUACUAGACCUAAACCUCCUGGAGAAAGCACAGGAGGACAAACAUCAAUCACUAAGAUUGAGAGUAUUUAAAAAGGAAGUUUAAUUAUUCUAGCUUCUUACAAUUCCUAACCUAACAAAUAUUCAGAAUUUACAAAUAUUCUCUCUGAAUGCUGGAAAAUCUCAGCAAACAGGAUACUUAACAAAAUGUCCUUAACAAAAUGGGAGGGGAAAAGGGGAAUGGAGAAGGCAUGUAAUUUUAAUCUGUUUACCUCAAAGAAACAGGUUAGCAAAUGAAAGCUAUCCUGAAUAAAUAGACCAGCUAUUUAUAUGUACUUGUACAAUUAUAUUUACUUCAUUUUUGAUUCUGAUCUAAGCCUUAGAAAACAAAGACUUAAA
rnacentral:lncRNA from 1 species